AAGCCCGCUGAUUGCAUGGUACCUGUCCAACCUCCCCGCCUACAGGACAGCAGUCAGUCCACUUCUCCGCGGAAUCGAGGUGGGGCUGGCCCAUGGCUUCCUCCUCGUAGGUCCAUUUGUCAAGGCUGGUCCACUGAGGAACACAGAGUAUGCAGGUGCUGCUGGAUCUUUGGCUGCAGGUGGUCUGAUCGUAAUCCUAAGCAUUUGCUUGACCAUGUAUGGAGCUGCAUCCUUCACUGAAGGAGAGCCAUCAAUUGCCCCAAGUCUAACCUUGACUGGAAGGAAGAAGGUGCCUGACCAGUUGCAAACUGCAGAUGGCUGGGCCAAGUUCACUGGAGGAUUCUUCUUUGGUGGGAUUUCUGGUGUCACCUGGGCAUUUUUCCUUCUCUAUGUCAUAAACCUUCCUUACUAUGUUAAGUAGAGAAAAUCUACAUUUUCCUUUGUUUGUUGCAACUCUCUCUGUCAAUGUAUA
rnacentral:lncRNA from 1 species